rnacentral:rRNA from 1 species
UACGGAGGGGGCAAGCGUUGUUCGGAAUUAUUGGGCGUAAAGAGUAUGUAGGCGGCUAUUUAAGUCAGGCGUGCAAGCCCACGGCUCAACCGUGGAAUUGCGUUUGAAACUAUUUAGCUUGAGUACAGGAGAGGAAGGCGGAAUUCCCAGUGUAGCGGUGAAAUGCAUUGAUAUUGGGAAGAACACCGAUGGCGAAGGCACUUUACUGGUCUAUUACUGACACUCAGAGACGAAAGCUAGGGUAGCAAAUGGG